ACACGACUACAUUAGAUACCCGUGUAGUCCAGGGUGUAAACGCUGCGGGCUUGGUGUUGGGGGUCCUUUGAGGGCGCCCAGUGCCGGGAGAAGUUGUUAAGCCUGCUGCUUGGGAGUACGUCCGCAAGGCUGAAACUUAAAGGAAUUGGCGGGGAGCACAACAACGGGUGGAGCUUGCGGUUUAAUUGGAUUCAACGCCGGAAAUCUUACCGGGACCGACAGCAAUAUGAAGGCCAAGCUGAAGACUUUGCCGGAUUAGCUG
rnacentral:rRNA from 1 species